GUUUUAGAGACUCCACUCAAGAAGAUGGAUACGGCAGCGCAGUGGUGCAGUUCAAUUUUGGAUUUUGCCUUUAUUGGGAUGUUGCAGAGCAGCACCACUGACCCAUGGAUUGUACCUGACAGUGUUUUAACUGCCACUGGGGCCACCAGACUUGCUGGGAACUGGGAAUCUCCAAAGCCAGCUACCAGGAGCUCCUUCACCAACCUGAAUUGGGCAGUGGCUGAAGUCACCCAUCAGAUGAUGUCGACCAUGGAGGUGCACACGAAGGGUGAAGGUUUCCCUCUGUCCCCAAACUCCAGGGUUUCAUGUAAAAUUGAACAGUGAGAAGAGAACUGACUUUGGGAGAUCUCUUGCAGCAUGGAAACAACGUUCCUGCUGUCCUGGGAAAGAGGGAGAAUGAAGUUCAUCGUGGAACAUUAAAUACAAGUGUUCUGCCAAAGCUGCCCACAGUCUGUUGUUCCUGUCCUAUAUAGAAAAAUAGAGCUCUGUCCAGCUAAAUCAAGAUCGCUACUUUUCCCUCUUCCCUGGAGAAACCUGAGGAAGAAAAGUGUAUUUUUCCUCUGGAAAGCUGCUCCCAACUCUGGUUAGCUGGAGGCCCACAUUUGAAUGGCUGAAUGCUGCAGAAUCUUGGAAGGGCCUGUGUGCAGAGUAAACCACAUAACAGGU